UUUGUUUACUUUUUAGCUUUCCAAAUAUCAUCUCAUCCAUCUCCAUUUCCAAUAUCAUCUCUUGCAGCUCCAUUUUCUCCUUCUUUUUGCCUUUCCGAGAUUUCACUCCCUACGCACUUCACACCAAAACGCAAGCUUCAAAAAAAUCUGUUCUCAGCUGAUUUCACUUGGAUUUUGCUGUUGAAUUUUAUGUUGUACGUUCUGUAGCUGAAAUAAAAUAUAAAAGAUUUGUAUAGUAAGAUUUUAAUCGGUUUGUUGCGGUUAUUUUUUUUGUUUAUUGUUGUAUGUUUAUCUGUUGCGACUGAGCCGAUGUUUAAUCAUAAUUUUGCUGUUAAUUUGUUUAUCAGUUGCUAUUGAGCCGAUGUUUAAUUGUAACUUUGCUGUUCAAUUUUAUGUUUAUGUGGUAUGUUUUGAAGUUAAAAUAGAUAUAGAAAAUUUGCAUAGUAGGAUUAUAAUCAGUUUGUUACGGUUAAUUUUUGUUUAUUGUUGAAUGUUUAUCGCCUGCUAUUUAGCCGGUGUUUAAUCAUAAUUUUGCUCUUAAUUUUUUUUCAGUUGCGAUUGAGCCGAUGUUUAAUCGUAAUUUUGUGUUUAUGUUGUAUGUUUCUCCAGUUGAUAUAGAUAUAGAUACUUUAUAUAGUUGGAUUCUAUUUGGUUUGCGAUUAAGCCGUUGUUUGAUCGAAAUUUUGCUGUUUAUUUUAUGUUCAUGUUAUAUAUUUCUCAGUUGAAAUAAAAGAUUUAUAUAGUCAGGUUUUAACUGGUUUUGGAAAGGAUAGUCGAGGGAGAGGAGAAAAGAGAGGGGAAUAAGGCUUGGUUUAGCAGCCUUUGUUUUCUAUGGUGUGUUGGUUGGGAGAGCUGCAAUGUAUGAUAUGAUGAUUGUUUACGCUUGUUAUCUCGCUAUUAUAUUUGGAUUGGCGUGCACGCUUGUACUGUUAGCUGUUUGUCGACAUGCCUUGCCAACAUGCCUAUAUCCAUUGCUUUGCGGGAUAUCUUUUACUUCUUAACAAGGUUUGUUGUUAUAGAGCCAUUUGUUGUUGGCACUUCGACAAGUCUUUUGAUGUUUUGACCCCUGAUAUGUGGAGAAUGAAGAAAUUAGAAAGUAUAGGAUAUAUUCAGCUAUAACACAUAUAUUUUGCUUUAGCAAAAAAUUAAUUGCUUUCGGUACACCCUUGUUUGAAGGUUCUGAAUAGGAAAGAGACAGCUCAACUCAACUGAAAUAACAAUCUGUAAAACUGAACACUGUUUGAAAACUAGCCUGAAAAACCUCUAACUGAAACUGUCUGAAAUUGGAGUUGAUGGGACAAUCCCCCAACUAACUCCAUCUACUGAAAUACCGAGUCUACUGAAAUAAUGAAACAAAAGAACAUCCUCAAAUGAUGAGGACUCACUGCUAAUCUACUGCUGCUAGCUGAAUCUGAAUCAUUCUAUGCACGGUCGAGAACCUGUGCAUCCGAGCCUAUGAUAAGAGACAUCAUAGCGCAAAUAAAGAGUGUACUGAAUGUAUUGGUAUGCUAGAUGAGGUAAAGUUGAAUCCACGAGUUCAUAUGCAUGAACAAAAUUGUCUGUAUGAUAUAGAGUAACUGAACAUGAAAGUACAUGGAUAAUUGAUACUAUUGUAAAUACUGAGUAUGACUACUGUGCAUAUAAAUAAAUACUGUGACUAAGCUUAUCUGAGUCCUGAGUUCAGAUACUGAGUAACUGAUAUCUAAAGUUACUGAUAACAGAUUUAUUGAUACUGGUUGACUGUAUCUAACAGUCCUGAUUUUGUAGAACUGAAUCGAGUUCUAUUUUGAAGACUGAAACUGAGACUGAGAGGUAAUCAUUUAACUGACAUGCCUCAAAUAAGAUAACUGAGUUGGGAUCCACCUGUGACCCCAAAUAAAAGGGUGUCAGUACUGUGCCACGGGUAAAGACACUGAAGAGUUACUCUUAUCUGGCAGGUAUUCUAAUGAGAACGGUGGAACCUUCAUCUGACAGGUUAAAACACCUCAUCAACGCUCAACUAGCAGGUUUGAUGUCUCAACCUACACUGGCUAUAUAGUUCUGGAACGCAAGGAUUGCUUUUAGAGAUCACACCCUCUACUAGCAGGUGAGCCCUCAUCCUUGGAUUUACUCGGUGCUGAAUCCUACUCCCAAUUGAAAGACACUGAACUGAGUAUAUUGAACUAGACUAGACUGAUACUGAGCUUACUGAGUUUUCCUAAGUUUGAUAACUGACUGAGUACUAUUGAUCGUGACAUGACUGAGAUUCUGUAACUGACACUGACUCAAGGUACACAGCUAAAUUGUCGGGUAUUAAUACCCCCAAGACUCGGUAGCAUGAAAAAUAAAGCAUAAUAUACUCUUGAAAAUCAUAACAAUGUAUACUUGUCCAUAGUUCACUCAUAAAGGCAUUUAAUCAAACACUUGUAAUACAUCUACUUAUAUAUGAAUGGGGAAUACAUGCUAUCAUGUUAUAAUGACACUUAUUUCAUUCACAUAAAUAUUUUAUCCAACACAGCAUGCUUAGGUUAUACAAUAAUCAAAACAUAGUCAUCAUAGCUACAUCAAUCAACUUGCAAAUUGAAGGGUUUAUCAUGAAGAUCAUGUAAUUCAACACAUACAGUGAUUAAUUUCAUAAAAGCAUGUAAUUUAAUCAUAGACUAAAACCCAACAAUAACAUGAACAUGAAUUCAGUUCAGUUCAAGCAUGAAGGUUCAUAAUUUAACAGUCUUGUAUUUUAAAAACGGAUUCGUGAACUCUAUGGGUGAAAGGAACCCAUAGAUGAACACGUAACAUACCUUAAUUUGUGAGUUUCUUUAAGUUCUUGGUGAAUUCUUUGAGAUUACUCUUGGUUUCUUGAAGCUAGGGUUUGUAGUUUUGAGAGAGAAUGCUUUUUAAUUCGGGGAUAAAUUGAGUAAGUAAUGACUUAAAAUAUUUCUAGGGAUUAAAUCCUGCAUCUGAGUGUAUUAAAUCAUGAAAAAGACAGUUUUAACCCUGGACGAAAGAUUUAAUUUUCGUCAAAAUUUUCCAAAAUAGGCACCUGGCGCGACACGAUGCUAUCGCGCUUGUCUCUGAAAAUUGCCAACUGGGAAAAUGCAUGGGCGCGACGCGCUGGCAUCGCGGUACCUCACUGGAAACUGACAAUUGCCAUUUUGACAUACUCCGUGAUGCGCUACUGGCCUGAAUGACGAUGUUUAACGAUUGAAACUUAAAAUAGCCAUAACUUCUCACCCGGUUAUCGGAUUUAGGUGAAUUUUAUUUCAUUGGAAAGCUAAUUCAAUUUCAUACGCAAUGGCAGGCUCUAAACUGAAAAAUACUAAGAGUUUAAAAUUUUUUAUAUUGGAUAACUCAUGAACUAAGAGUUAAGUUAAACUUGAGAAAUACAGGGUAUUAUAAUAUCUCCCCCUUGGGAACAUUCAUCCUCGAAUGAGACUGAUUAAGCUGAGACACUGAUAGACUGAGUUUAUACACUGAACAUGCAUAUCUGAUGCAUGAAUUUAUGACUGAAGCUACUGACAAGUUGGGUUUUCAUACUGAACAUGCACAUCUGAUGCAUGAGUACAUUACUGAACUGAUUCAUGAAUGCAUGACUGAGUAUGCAACGGUAAUAGAUAACAAGUUAUGAUUAUAGCUGAACAUGGAACUGAGUAAAGCUAAGGAAGACUGUUACCUUAAGCUGGAUCUAAGGUUGCGGAGAAGAGGUAAGGAUACUUGGUCCGUAUAUUUGCUUCUGCUUCCCAAGUAGCUCCCUCAACGGACUAAUUUCGCUAAAGAACUUUGACUAAGGGAACUUCUUUGUUCCCCAGUCUGCGAAUCUGAUAAUUGAGAAUCUGGACUGGAACCUCUUCGAAAGAGAGAUUGUUCUGAAUAUUUACGUCCUCUAAUGUAACUAUGGCUACUGGGUCACCAAUGUAUUUCUUUAGCAAGGAGACGUGGAAUAUUGGGUGCACUGAGGCUAGAUCUGAAGGCAACUCAAACUUAUAAGAUACUUUUUCGAAAUAGCUGAGAAUUUUGUAAGGGCUGACAUAUCUAGGACUGAGCUUUCCCUUCUUGCCGAACCUCUUUACCCCCUUAAUGGGAGAGAUUUUCAAGAAAACAGAAUCAUCAAUAUCAACUCGAGAUCAUUUACUAGACACGCAUGAACGGGAAUGCAAGGACAAAACUGAGCCUGAAACGUGAUACAUGAAUUGAAUAUCAUGAACUGAACUGAUUCCUUGAAUACAUGCCAUGCCAUGGGAAUGGUCAUACGGCUGAGAUAGGAACGAGAGAGUCAACUUAUGAGUACUCACUACUCCAAAUGGGGUCUUGUUACGUGAAGAGAAAUUGGAAGGUUUAGGAUAUGGAGGCUCGCGGGUUAUAGUGCAUCCCCCCCUUGGGACAUUAUGUCCCUCGAAGAAUGUUGAUUUAGUUGGGAUUCCAAGGAAAUUGAAAUGAUGCACAGGGCACCUUCGAACUAAUUUGUGACUGAAUAUCUGGGAUCUGAAACUGAGGCAUGACACAUGAACUAGCUGAAUACGCAAAUAAUUGGUUGCUCUAUCUGGGAAUGGUUACAUUCAUGAGACUUCAGAUAGUACGACUAGAUGGAAAUAUGGGAAACAUAUGAACUUGUCCGCCUGACUAAUAAGCUGAAUUGCUAGAUGUACGGACAAUCUCAUGCUGAAAAUUUAUACUCAACUGGAGCAUUUCUUGACACUCUUUCUAUAAAGUUCUACAACUUUAGAGAGCAAAGAAAUCUUGGCAUGGUCUGAAUACGAUAUCUGGAUAAUAAGUCACAUCAUGGCUAUAAUUCUGUAAUAUGGGGCGAGGCCUAUGAAACGUCAUCUAAUACAGAGUUACUAUGCCUUAUGCACUGAAACUACUAGCUUGCCAUUCUAGCCACUUUUCUCAACUAUUCCCUCAACUGUAAUUUCUACUUCAACACCGCAUUUUACUUAGGGCUACUAAAAAUAUUCGCAUGGGCACUAAGCACAAAUGCGUAAACAUACUAACUUAUUUGAUUAACUGAAUGACUGAUAGUUGGAUGCUGGUCAUGUAAGAUUGUACUGUACUUAACCUGAAUAACUGGACUGAAACUAUAAAGUACUAUACAUUUGAGGUAAGGGCUAACUGAGGAAUAUGAGGUAACUGAGCAUGAAUUCAUGAAAAUGGUAUUAUCUAGGAAUGCAAGACUACGUGCAUGACAUGAUUCUAAAAUACUGAGUUACUAACAACUGAAUAACUGAUAACUGUACGCGUUGGUCAAGCAAACCUGAAACUGGACUGAGUCUGGAACUGAAUGCUGAACUGAACACACUAUAAAGCAUGAGUCUAUGCAUCAUGAGAUGCAUGACCUGAGUUUGGAGUUUCUAUUUUCAUAGAACAUGAUUCAAAACACUGAGUGAACUGGAAUUCCUUAUACUAGGAACUAUAAACUUUCAUGAUAUUCGUGGAUGUGCACGAAUAUGGGCUUGGAUCGUAGAGCUGACAUAUACUGUAUGAGUAGAUAUCUAUAUUGUGAUAGCUGAAGUGCAAAACUUUGCACUGAGGUAAGGAUGGGUUGGGCAUCAACCUCUCCCACUGUUUUUCUACAUAUAUUAGCAUUACUACUAAAAUCUAAAAGCCUUACUUGGUUACCUGUGCUACCAUCUCCCCCUUAACUUAAAGCCGUUAUUCUAAGAUCGUGAGACACUUAAUAAACUCUAAAUCAAACGGAAACCACUUUACUCCAGAGUCUGAGAUAUUACAAUUCUCAUAAACACUAAACUCAUUCUGAAGGACUACUCCUGAUGAUGUAAGGUCCACUGUUAGUACUUCCUUCUGAUACAUAAUUCUUAGCUUUCUAGUGCCCCAAAAAUAAUCAUAUAACAACCUCAACACUAACUAACUUAGAAUUCUCAACUUCUGUUUCUACUAGUUCAAUCUAGAGAUUUAAACUUAGAUCAACUGAAACUAAGGUACUACCCCUUCAUUCAAUGAUUAGUACAUCAGAAAACUGAAACAGAACGACUCUAUGACUGAAAUUAGCUGAGGGGAUUUUCUAAAAUACUGUAAUCAAGCAAUCUCUGUAUACUCAUCUGGCUAGAGCGGAUUUAUCUACUGAGGUAAGCACUAAGAAAGGUCCUAUCAGGAUUUUCUAGUCUGACUUAAAGUUGACUGUCAUGCAAGGAGUUAUAACAGACAGAGAAGCUCCUGGAUCUAAUAAGGCAUGAAUAUGUAAAUAGAAUAUCUUUAACAUACCAGUGACCACAUCCGGAGAAUUUUCCUGAUCUUGUCUGGACUGAAGAGCAUAAAGCCUGUUUGGGCGUUGUCCAUUGGUGGCACUGGAAGCGGCACCUUGCUGAUUCGAGCGACUUGACUGAGCUGAAGGAUGAUUAUACUGACCCUGAAAACCUGACUAAGGAUAAUUUCUGACUUUGUGGCCUGGCUUGCCUGGCUGAUGAUUAUAGGCAUCUAACUCAGCACUCUCACUGAAAGUCACUCCCAUAAUAUUUAUGACUUUUUGAACUUGAUCGAGGAACUCCUAUGGAUCCUCUUUUGACUUAGAUACCGAGAAUAGGGGAGGAUUCAUUUAGGUGAAGUCCCGAAUCCUGGAUGCAGCAGUAUUGGCCACUGGAUUGGCCGAAAAAGUAGAUAGCCUUUCAUUUUGAGAUGCUACGGAGUUGGAUAGAGUAGUGAAUACAACUCUGAAUUCUGCAUGGGAGACAUGCUUGUCCAAGGGAUUUACCUAAAUGGGCUGAGGUGCUAACUGAUUUUCGGUUCUCCUUUCGUAAGUCUUUUUGGGAGGAAUGUUUUGUAAAUGAAAAGGAGGAAAUGAAUUAAACUGAAAAUUUAACUUGAGAUCAUGCUCACUCACACGACAUGAAUACUAAAAGAAGGAAAACUAUUUCCUAAAACAUCUCAUAGCCUCAUGUCCGUAAGUGUGGCACGCUACACACCCAUGUACAAGACUCUACUAGAUACAACUAUCAGACUUUCUAGGAUAUUGUUAAAACUUAGGCGCUGAUACUAAGUUUGUAAUGUGCCGAGUCUGUACCCUGGAUGCUACACGAUGCUUACGACCCCGAAGGACCACAAGUUAACCCUUGACUGAUAUCUGCUGUGAGGACUGAAACAUGAUACUGUAGUAAAUGCAGAAUAAUAGGCUAAAAUGCCAAAAGGUUCAAAAUUUGUAAAUACUGAUAACGUGUAUCAACUAAAAUAAUAAUCUGUAAAAUUAAACACUGUUUGAAAACUAGUCUAAAAAGCCUCUAAUUGAAACUGUCUAAAAGUGGAGUCAAUGGGACAAUCCCUCAACUAACUCCAUCUAUUGAAAUACUGAGUCUACUGAAAUAAUAAAAUAAAAGAGCAUCCUCGAAUGAUGAGGAAUCACUGCUAAUCUACUGCUGCUGGCUGAAUCUGAAUCUAUCUAUGUCCGAUCAGAAACUUGAGCGUCCGAACCUAUGAUAUGAGACAUCAUAGCACAAGUAAAGAGUAUGCGUCAGUACAUGGAAUGUACUGGUAUGCUAGAUGAGGUAAGACUGAAUACAAGGGUUCAUAUGCAUGAACCAUAACUGACAGUAUGAUAUAGAGUAACUGUACAUGAGAGUACAUGGAUAACUGAUACUACUAUCAAUACUGAGUAUGGAUACUGUACAUAUAAAUUAAUAUUGUGACUAAGCUUAUUUGAAGCUAAGUCCUGAGUUCUGAUACUGAGUAAUUGAUAUCUGAAGUUACUGACAACUGAUUUACUGAUGCUAGUUGACUGUAUCUGAUAGUCCUAAUUCUGUAGAACUGAACCGAAUUCUAUUCUAAAGACUAAAACUAAAACUAUGAGAGGUAAAUAUCUAACCGACAUGUCCCAAAUAAGAUAACUGAGUUGGGGUUCAACCUGUGACCCCAGUUGGAAGGGUGUCAGUACCGUGCCACGGGUAAAGACACUGAAAAGUUACCUUCAUCUGGUAGGUACUCUAAUGAGAAUGGUGGAACCCUCAUCUGACAGGUUAAAAUACCUCAUCAACUCUCAACUAGCAGGAUUGAUGUCUCAACCUACGCUGGUUACAUAGUUCUGGAACGCAAGAAUUUGUUUCUAGAGAUCACACCUUCUAUUGGAAGGUGAGCCCCCAUCCUUGGGUCCACUCGGUACUGAAUCCUACUCCCAACUGAAAGACACUGAACUGAGUAUACUGAACUGGACUGGACUGAUUCUAAGCUUACUGAGUUUUCCUGAGUUCGAUAACUAACUGAGUUCUAUUGAGUUCUGUAACUGACUGAGAGUACUACUGAUCGUGACAUGACUGAGAUUUUGUAACUGACACUGGCUUUAGGUAAACAGCUAAAUUUUUGAGUAUUAAAUACCCCCAAGACUCGAUAUCAUAAAAAAUAAAGCAUAAUAUACUCUUAAAACUCAUAACAAUGUAUACUUGUCCAUAGUUCACUCAUAGAGGCAUGUAAUCAAAUACUUGUAAUGCAUCUACUUAUACAUGAAUGGGGAAUACUUGCUAUCAUGUUAUAAUGACACUUAUUUCAUUCACAUAGGAAUUUUAUCAAACACAUGGGGAGCAUGCUUAGGUUAUACAAUACUCAAAACAUAUAGUUAUCAUGGCUACAUCAAUCAACUUGCAAAUUGAAGGGUUUAUCGUGAAGAUCAUGUAAUUCAACAUAUACAAUGAUUAAUUUCAUAAAAGCAUGUAAUUUAAUCAUGGACUAAAAUCCAACAAUAACAUGAACAUGAAUUCAAUUCAAUUCAAGCAUGGAAGUUCAUAAUUCAACAGUUUUAUAUUUGUAAAAUGGAUUCGUGAACUCUAUGGGUGAAAGGAACCCAUAGAUGAACACCUAACAUAUCUUAAUUUGUGAGUUUCUUUAAGUUCUUGGUGAAUCCUUUGAGAUUGCUCUUGGUUUCGUGAAGCUAGAAUUUGUAGUUUUGAGAGAGAAUGCUUUUAAUUUGGGGAUAAAUUGAGUGAGUAAUGACUUAAAAUGCUUUUAGGGAUUAAAUCCCAUAUCUGGGCGUGUUAAAAUCAUGAGAAAAGACUGUUUUAACCUGGACAAAAUAUUUAAUUUCUGUCGAAUUUUUUUGAAAUAGGCACCUGGCACGACGUGGCGCUAUCGCGCCAUGUCUCUGGAAAUCGCCAACUGGAAAAUACAUGGUGGCGUGACGCGGUGGUAUCGCGUUGCCACUUUGGUUGGGACCUGAAAGUUUACCACGACGCGGUAAAAUUGCGUUGGUACACUGAAAAUUGACAAAUAUGAAAACAAGCUAUGGUGCGAUGCGCCGGCAUCGCGGUACCUCACCGGAAACUGAUAAUUGCCAUUUUGAUAUACUCCGCGAUGUGCUAGUGGCCUGAAUAAUGGUGUUUAACGACUGAAACUUAAAAUAGCCAUAACUUCUCACCCGUUUAUCGGAUUUAGGCGAAUUUUAUAUCGCUGGAAAACUAAUUCAAUUUUCUACGCAAUGGCAGACUCUAAACUUAAAAAUACUAUGUGUUUCAAAAAUUUUAUAUUGAAUAACUCAUGAACUGAGAGUUAAGUUAAGCUUGAGAAAUAUGGGGUAUUGCAUUAAUCCCUUUUCUUCGGAAUAAAUUGAACCCUUACCUAGAAUCUAAACUAGUUCAUAGACUAAAACACAAGUUAUACAUGUUAAUAAAUAAAUAGGUUUCCUUAUUUUCCUUAAAAAUUAGGUGGCAACUCUGUAUAACAUUUAUUCUUUUAGAGUCCAUAAUGUCGUGCUCGUUUUGACCUUAGGUAAAAAUCGGGUUUAACAGUUUGGUGACUCUACUGGGGAUUCAAGUUUCUAACCAUUAUAGAUUUAGGUAAUUAUUUACGUUUUUAUACAUUGUUAUUUGUUUUAUACUAAUUUUCUUGAUUUAUCAUAUUUAUUUGACUUAAAUUAUUUAUUUGUUAUUAUUUUAUAGAUUGUUUAUUUGUUUAUCGCUUUAUAUAAAUUGUCAUUCCGUUCAUAUUUCCUCCAUUUUGGAAAACUGACACUCACAUAUAUUGUACAUGCGGAUUGUACAUUGUACUUUCCCCAAUUUUUUUCAAAUCACCUUAUUUUAGAGAGUUGGUGUACACGUGGGGUGAGCAAGAUUUUUACUGUCGUGGGACUACGUGCCCUCUCAUAUAGUAAAUCCAAGUCCGUGUCUACCCACUCUCAGUUAGCAUAGAAUAGAGCUACAAUAACACCUUUUUAGGUACAUGCAUUGUUAGUCAAUUUUAUCUAAAUGUUCGAAAGGUUUACGAUCCAGGUGACACAUUAUCAUAGUUUCUGUACAUAUUUGAAGAAUAAUUUUGCCUAUUUGCUAUCAAUUGGUUAUACUUUAGUGAGAAGGUGUGAUCUAACCUUUGUUUUGCAGUGCGGAUUAGUUAAAAAAUGCACCUUAGCUGUUUAUAAGUUUGAAUUACGUUUUGACCUGAUUCUUGUCCUGAUAAGAUACGUAGGCAACCCUACAUUAGGGUUCAAUCUCUUCACUGUUUUAGAAUAAUUUCUCCGUUACUCAAAACUGGGGCAAUUUUCUAGAAUAUAGUUCAAAGAUGCUCCCCAGAAGCCUUUAAGAGCGCAAAUUAAUAGCUCUUUAAAUUCAAAUUUCAUUAUCAUUAGUGUCUAGUCGGCCUACUUCCAAAUCCUCACCCAAUUUUGGUGUGAGAAUACCUAACUUGUUCUUUCGAAUGCUAUAAAUUAUUAAAUUUUUGGCGUAUCAAUUCUCACUUUCAAAAGCAAGGGUUCAAUACUUUUUCAGUUAUAACAAUUUUGUCAAUUGCGGCGAAAUAAUGUCGUAAUUUCUUCAAUGUCUGACUUUUUCAAUCUUGUCAGUAUGUUGAAGUAGUGUCAAAUCUCUCCCUAUGCAUGACAUUCAUUCUCUCGAUCAUUUAGUCAAAACAAUUUUGAUGUUAAAAGCAGUUCUUUCCUGAUCGUCUUUCAUAUUAUUUUUAAGAAUGACCAUUAUUUUUCUUACAAUUAUAUCAUUACACAUACUAAUUCAUAAAUUUGUUUGAACUACGCAGACCUAAGUAUGAUUCUUGAUGAACAUACUGAUUCUUGAUGAUAUGAUCUUGAUUAUGAGUAUGAUUGUGAGUACUUGACUUGUGUAAAUUCAAUGGUGGUAAUUGAUGAUAGUCAUAAACUUGACAAGUGACUGUUUAUGCGGAAUGUGGUAAAUCAUGAAUGUUGAUGAGUUGUUUAUAUGACUAUAUGCUUGGUGAUUUGAUCUUUAAUGCACUCUCCGAUGGUAUGAAAAGCGUGAUGAGUUCUUUACUUUAUAUUCUCUUGUGUGUACUCCCAGGUGGUAUGGGAUGCCAUGGUGAGUUCCUUUACGUUAUGCUUAUAAAUUUGUUUGUAUGACACCUUGAUCUUAUGCCAUUGUGAUGGUACUAAUGUUGCUUUGCUAUUUUAGAUUAUUUACUUCUUAUAUAAUGGUAUUGACACGUGAUGAAUUGAUAAGUUGUAGUAUUGUUCUAGUUUGAUUAUUGAUUAUAUAUAGUAAUGAUCAAGAUGAUUCGGGUUCAAUUUUGUACCUUGACUUAGAGAUAUUGUCUUACUUUAUAUCAUCUUCAUAUCAUGAUUUAGCUCAGUUGGCCGAUGAUACCCACUGAGUAUCCAUUGUUUUGGUACUCAUAUUACACUCACUAUACCCUUAUGGUGCAGACCCGAGUACUAGUUGUCGCCACUGAAUUGAGUUCAUGCUGCAUUGAUCUUUCGGAGACAGGGUGAGCUCUUGGAGAUUUGAGUCGCCUGUUUCCCUCUUGUCUUUAUUCAGUCUUUUGCAUUCGAGACGAAUGUAUAGAUUAUUUUAGACUAUAUGAGUUGUAUCCUUCUAUUGUCAAACUUAGAUACUUUUAUACUAAUACUACCUAGUCGUGGGACUGGUAAUUGUUUUAUGGAUUGUCUUAUUUUAAAGUAGAACGCUAUUGUGU
rnacentral:lncRNA from 1 species